rnacentral:lncRNA from 1 species
UUAGCUUGAUGCCUUCAUGAGAUAAAGGGGAAACUGGAGCUUGGAACUUGAUUUCAUCCACACCCACAGGUCAGUCCUUCUUGACAUAUUUGGCCAAGCUUACAGACGUUGAGCUCCAACAGCACUGACACUUUCAGAAGAUUGGGUUUUUUAGAUUAAGCAACUGUGGCUGACAGUGAGGACCUUUCCAAAGCACCAGCCACCAGCUGGCAUGGCU